AACGUAGGUGGCGAGCGUUAUCCGGAUUUACUGGGCGUAAAGCGUGUUCAGGCGGUUUGGUAAGUCGGGCAUGAAAUCUCUUGGCUCAACCAGGAGAGGCUGUCCGAUACUACCAGACUUGAGGGCAACAGAGGGCGGUGGAAUUCCGGGUGUAGUGGUAAAAUGCGUAGAUAUCCGGAGGAACACCAGUGGCGAAGGCGGCCGCCUGGGUUGCCCCUGACGCUAAAACACGAAGGCUAGGGCAG
rnacentral:rRNA from 1 species